UACGAAAAGCUAAAGUAGUACUGUUUCCUUGUUAGAAAAUACAAACCAUGAGACUCAUACGAACGGCUACCCAUCAAAGCUCUGAGAAAAAAUAAGAAGGUUGGUUAGUGUUUUGGAGUCAAAUAUAACUAGAUGUCCUGUGUAUGACUGAGUAUAAGAAAUAGAACCGCAAUCGGUUCUCAAAAGCUAAAGUAGUGGUUCCUUGUUAAAGAUACAAAGCCAAAGACUCAUACGGAUUUCGGCUACACCAUCAAAUCUUUGAAAAGCAAU
rnacentral:sRNA from 1 species